rnacentral:rRNA from 1 species
ACUCCUACGGGAGGCAGCAGUGGGGAAUAUUGGACAAUGGGCGCAAGCCUGAUCCAGCGAUGCCGCGUGAGUGAUGAAGGCCCUAGGGUUGUAAAGCUCUUUCACCGGAGAAGAUAAUGACGGUAUCCGGAGAAGAAGCCCCGGCUAACUUCGUGCCAGCAGCCGCGGUAAUACGAAGGGGGCUAGCGUUGUUCGGAAUUACUGGGCGUAAAGCGCACGUAGGCGGAUCGAUCAGUCAGGGGUGAAAUCCCAGGGCUCAACCCUGGAACUGCCUUUGAUACUGUCGAUCUGGAGUAUGGAAGAGGUGAGUGGAAUUCCGAGUGUAGAGGUGAAAUUCGUAGAUAUUCGGAGGAACACCAGUGGCGAAGGCGGCUCACUGGUCCAUUACUGACGCUGAGGUGCGAAAGCGUGGGGAGCAAACAGGAUUAGAUACCCGAGUAGUCCCAUGA